rnacentral:rRNA from 1 species
GACCAACGCUGGCGGCGUGCUUAACACAUGCAAGUCGAACGAUGAAGAAGAGAAACGCGAACUUCGGUUCAAAUUUCACUUCGGAUUAGUGGCAGACGGGUGAGUAACGCGUGAGCAACCUACCUCUUACAAAGGGAUAGCCUCGGGAAACCGUGAUUAAUACCAUAUGACACAUUCAUAAGGCAUCUUAAGAAUGUUAAAGCUACGGCGGUAAGAGAUGGGCUCGCGUCCCAUUAGCUAGUUGGUGAGGUAACGGCCCACCAAGGCGACGAUGGGUAACCGGCCUGAGAGGGUGAACGGUCACAUUGGAACUGAGACACGGUCCAAACUCCUACGGGAGGCAGCAGUGGGGAAUAUUGCACAAUGGAGGGAACUCUGAUGCAGCGACGCCGCGUGAGCGAUGAAGGAAUUCGUUUCGUAAAGCUCUGUUCUAUGGGAAGAAAAGGACUGUACCAUAGGAGAAAGCCCCGGCUAAAUACGUG